rnacentral:rRNA from 1 species
CCUACGGGAGGCAGCAGUGGGGAAUUUUGGACAAUGGGCGAAAGCCUGAUCCAGCAAUGCCGCGUGUGGGAAGAAGGCCUUCGGGUUGUAAACCACUUUUGUACGGAACGAAACGGUUCGCUUUAAUACAGUGGGCUAAUGACGGUACCGUAAGAAUAAGCACCGGCUAACUACGUGCCAGCAGCCGCGGUAAUACGUAGGGUGCGAGCGUUAAUCGGAAUUACUGGGCGUAAAGCGUGCGCAGGCGGUUAUAUAAGACAGUUGUGAAAUCCCCGGGNUCAACCUGGGAAUUGCAUCUGUGACUGUAUAGCUAGAGUACGGUAGAGGGGGAUGGAAUUCCGCGUGUAGCAGUGAAAUGCGUAGAUAUGCGGAGGAACACCGGAUGGCGAAGGCAAUCCCCUGGACCUGUACUGACGCUCAUGCACGAAAGCGUGGGGAGCAAACAGGAUUAGAUACCCUGGUAGUCCACGCCCUAAACGAUGUCAACUGGUUGUUGGGUGCAUUAGUACUCAGUAACGAAGCUAACGCGUGAAGUUGACCGCCUGGGGAGUACGGCGCAAGGUUGAACUCAAAGGAAUUGACGG